AUAUUUUUGGACGCAUAUUUACAUCUUUUUAUUUGAUUCCUUCUUUAAUUUGUGCAUAAAAACACCUUUUUGUGGGGAUCCUCUUGAUAAUUUUGCAUCUGGACGGUACAGUGCACAAGGUCUUAAGGCAUGGGGUGUUCUUGAGUGAGAAGCAAUGAAGAUUGAGUGAGAAGAUCUGAUUACUUGAUUUUCGUUGCGCGUUUUUUUUGCAGAUGAAGAUUGAGUGAGAAGAUCUGAAUACUUGAUUUUCAUUGUGCGUUUGGUGCUGGGUUUUUAUAUUAUCAGUUUGAUUUGAAAACUCAUAUUUGAUUUUUGCUCUCAAUCUGAACAAGGGAGGAAAACGAACCCCUGUACAAGCUGUAACUCUAUGGGUACGAAGACAACCUCCAAUGGUGGAAAGCUUUUCUUGCUGUGAUUACAGGAAUGGCUGCUUUAGUUUAACUCACUCAUCUAUUCCUGCUUCUCCUCCUCCAAACCUGGUAAUCUCCUCCUCCAAUUCGUUCUUAUUUCUUUUGAUUUUUCUGAUAUUGAUUUGGUUUUGAAGAAACAAUAACUCAAAUCGUCAUCUUCAUUUUCAGGUAACCAGGUUUAUUUUUUGAUUUUUCAGCAAUUUAUCCUUUUUACUUGCUUUUUUUUGUAGGUUUUAAUGGGGAUUUUAUAAGGGGGUUUACUUUGAGUAAUUUACUAACUUCAUCAUCAUCUUCAUUUUGAUGCUUGAUUAUCUUCAACUUUCUCCUAUUGUUCGUUGACCUUUUUGGGUAUUUCAUGUUCUCUCCUUUAUUUAUUGAAUUUGAUUUUAAAUGUAAAUUCUUCAAUCUAAUGAUUCCGAAUAUUGUUUUUGAUUUUUGGGUUUUUGUUUGCAAAUGAAUUGAACCCCAAAUUUAUUCUGUUUUUAAUUUAGUCUUUUUACAAUUAUAUUUUUUAUGUAAAUAAAAUCUCAUUACUUAGGUUUUAUGGUAAAAACCAGAGUAAAUUAUAACUUAGGAGCUGUGCUUCAUCUAUUCUGAUUUCUGAUUAAUUUUGAGAUCUAAGUUUAAUUUAUUUACUUUGUCUAUGCUAUUUUGUCUAUGAUUUAUUUCGAUGAGCUAAAUAUUUAUAGUUUUUUGGUUUUUAUUUUAAGCGAACAAAUUAAAAUAAAUUAUUAAAUUAUGUGCACUAUUUUUUACAUGUGACGUUUGCUACCAAGUACCAAGAAGCAACAUUCGAUCCUUUCAAACCCUAUACACGAGAGUAAUUGAUUCAUUUCCAACAACCUAAUGUUAUUAUUGUAACACAAUUUGCUAAAUUAGCCCAACUCGGGUACUUAUGUUAGACCCGGUUACAUGACCGAGUGCCAAUGAGAGUAGUGUCUAAUCUCCGUCACCUAUCUUUAAGUGUUGAAAAAUGAUAUGGUUGGUCGAUUCGAUAAUAGAUCCCAGACAGGAAUUAGUAUUCAAUCUGUCCAUUGGAUUUCAGGUGACGAUAGCAGGAAAGGCUGCUGUUAUUUUACUUGCUCCUCACAAAGCCUUUAACUGAGCAGCAUGGAACAGGGCGUUGUUGAUUGCCAUGGGAAUUGUAAGGAAGCUUUUGCCUGAGAAGAAAACCCAGAAAAGGGUUGCAUUGCCCAUCGAUAUUCAAUACUCAUAAGGUUGACAGAACAUCCACAAACGAGGAGAUGAACAAAUUGAUUAAUGAGGAUGAUCAAGAACAGGCGGUUUGAAAUUAAUUAUCGUAUCUGGUAUACCAUUUUAUGAGGUCUUUUAAAGGUAGUGAAAAUCAAACCGAGCUGUUAAAUGGUAUGAGAGCAAGUAGUCUAUGGAAUUGAAAUUAGAUUGUAGAAGUAUUUAUCCCUUAAAAGUGUGUUCUGUAAUCAGGUGAUUAUAUAUUGUCAAAUUCAUAGCUUGAUCAGAUUUUCAUAAAGUAUAAUUACUCUUAAUUGUAAAUGACUUGGAUGAUUGGAUCCUACUUCACAUAAGUGUCACUGGAGGUGUUCAACGGGACGGAUCGAUCUAACGGGUUAAGAAUUAGGUCACAUUUUAACGGGUUAUUAGCGGGCUUUGGUGUAAAAGGUCGGGCUAGGCUGCAUAAUUUUAAGGAUUAAUUGCAAAAAAAAUUGCUACUUUUUUAUUAACAGCCAUUGGUAUGAAGGGUCGGGCCGAGCUGCAUAAUUAUAAGAAUUAAUUGCGAAAAAAAUUGCUACUUUUUAAAUAUUUUUAAAUGAUAUAUUAUAUAUAUAUAUAUAUAUACAAGUGAGUUGAUCCAACGAACCAUAAUGUAUAAUAAAAAAACUAUUUUAUGAAUUUUUAAAAAGGGUCAAAAUGAAUUGGACUUAAAUGGGUUUUGACCUGGAUUGGACUUAAAUGGGUUUUGACCCACUCCAGCCCAUUUAACAUUUUACAUGACUCGUUCCGAUCCGGUUUAUUUAAAUUUUGACCUUAGAAUUUGUUACUUUGCCAAAUAAUCAAGUUUCACAACUUCUUAGAUAAAUAUAAAACAUCAAUGAUUAUAUUAUAAUAAUAAUAAUAAUUAUUAUUAUUAUUAUCUCCUUCUGGUUCUGGUUUCCCUUUUGAAGUCCUAAAGGAGGUAUUAAUUUGCUUUUUAAAAAGUUUGGUAUCAUUAUUAUUAUUAUAAGUGUGUUGAACUUAACUGUUAGGCUAUUUUUAUGCAUAGUUCUGCAAAUGCUGGAGUUCAGACUCGAGUUAAUGAUUUUUGCAUUAGAAUUUUGGGAUUAUUUUUUUUGGAGAUAGUAGCUAAUCCUAUUAUUUAAAUCAUUGUGCAAUUGGGUGUUCUUCAUAUCAAACAAGAAGUUUUGGCUUAAAAAAGUAAAAUUAAUUCUAGAUAGAUUUUAUUCAUUGAUGCUCAAGGCUUAUAUAAUUUCAACUUGGGGAUAAUCAUUUUAAUUUCAAAUAAAGUCUCAUGGUAAUAUAGCUCAAUUAAGUGCAGUUUAAAGUUAAUAACUUUAGCUGUUUUUAGGUGAAAAAAGAUUAUAAUUGUGUAUGAUUUUACAAUACCCUCUUUUGUUUUUUUGUUUUGUAAGGGGGUUUCAAUGGUUCAGAUUGGGUUCGAGAUAGGGGAACGGGAGUGGGUAUAAGUGGUGGUUAUCAGGAUGAGGGAAGGAUAAAGGGUGUCUGGCGAUAGGGGUGUGGAAGGCGGUGCGUGGAGAUAUGGAGGAAGGAAUGGAUGGUUGUGAUGGAGCAUUAGAGGUCUGGCCAACAAUCAUAGCCUUUUAAUGUACUGUGACAGCCGUCUACUUUUUUUUUGCCAACAAUCAUCUCCUUUUAGGUGCUUCUUCGGAUGGAACAGUUCGUGCAUGGGACCUUUUCUGAUACCGAAACUUCAGGACAAUCACUACUCUAUUUUCUAGGCAAUUUAUUUCAUUGACUGCUGAUCAAAGUGGUAAAAUUAUAUGUGUUGAAACUUUAGAUUCAUUUAAGGUCUCUAUGAUUUAAUAUAUAUCUUUCACUUUUAUGAUAGUAUUGUGUUUAGAACUUUUCUAAUACAGUGUGUUCUUUCUUUGUAUAGGUUUUUCUUUGGACAAUGAAAACACAAUGCUCACUUGAUGUGUCAAGUGUUCAUGAAGGUCAUUAUGUAAAUAUAUUAUUUCAAGCAAAGAAGAAGAAGCAAGCAAAGAAUCGGAUCAAACUAGGAUGCGCGGCCCGCAGAGUUUUACGCAGCACGCGCACGUCAGCCUGUAGGUUAGGCGGCUAUUUCACUUUUUUCAUUUCGGCUUUCAUUUUCAAUUGGAUAUUUAGAGGGGUUUAGGAGGCGACUUGCAGAGAGGAAUGAUGAGCAAAUCCAAUAGCAAGAAGCUUCAUCAAAUCUUUAUAAAUAGGCAAGAAAGCUUAGGAAUGGUAUCAUCCUGUAAUUUUUCAUUAAAAUACUUCUUUUUCAUUUUUGUUUUGCCAUGAUUAUGGAGCUUCAAGCUUAAAUUUUCAUUUCUUGUGGAAGGUUGAGUGGAAACUUCUAAUUACUCAUUGUAAA